rnacentral:rRNA from 1 species
GACGUAGGGGGCAAGCGUUGUUCGGAAUUAUUGGGCGUAAAGCGCUCGUAGGCGGGACAGGAAGUUCGUGUUGAAAGACCUCGGCUCAACUGAGGGACCGGCUCGAAUACUCUUGUUCUUGAGGCAAUCAGAGGGUGAUGGAAUUCCCGGUGUAGCGGUGAAAUGCGCAGAUAUCAGGAGGAACACCGGUGGCGAAGGCGGGUCUCUGGGCCGAUACUGACGCUGAGGAGCGAAAGCGUGGGGAGCGAACAGG